rfam:Triticum aestivum genome assembly, contig: Triticum_aestivum_CS42_TGACv1_scaffold_129672_2BL
CAAGUACUCCCUCCAUUCCAAAUUACUCGUCGCCGAAAUGGAUAUAUGUAACAUACAUCUAUUACAUCCAUUUCAGCGACGAGUAAUUUGGAACGGAGGGAGUACUUG